GUGGGGAAUCUUAGACAAUGGGGGAAACCCUGAUCUAGCCAUGCCGCGUGAGCGAUGAAGGCCUUAGGGUUGUAAAGCUCUUUCAGCUGGGAAGAUAAUGACGGUACCAGCAGAAGAAGCCCCGGCUAACUCCGUGCCAGCAGCCGCGGUAAUACGGAGGGGGCUAGCGUUGUUCGGAAUUACUGGGCGUAAAGCGCGCGUAGGCGGACCAGAAAGUUGGAGGUGAAAUCCCAGGGCUCAACCUUGGAACUGCCUUCAAAACUCCUGGUCUGGAGUUCGAGAGAGGUGAGUGGAAUUCCGAGUGUAUAGGUGAAAUUCGUAGAUAUUCGGAGGAACACCAGUGGCGAAGGCGGCUCACUGGCUCGAUACUGACGCUGAGGUGCGAAAGCGUGGGGAGCAAACAGGAUUAGAUACCCCAGUAGUCC
rnacentral:rRNA from 1 species